rnacentral:rRNA from 1 species
AUUGAACGCUGGCGGAAUGCUUUACACAUGCAAGUCGAGCGGCAGCGCGGCCUUCGGGCUGGCGGCGAGCGGCGAACGGGUGAGUAAUGCAUCGGAACAUGCCCAGUCGUGGGGGAUAACACCUCGAAAGAAGUGCUAAUACCGCAUACGUCCUGAGGGGGAAAGCGGGGGAUCGCAAGACCUCGCGCGAUUGGAGUGGCCGAUGUCAGAUUAGCUAGUUGGUGGGGUAAAGGCCUACCAAGGCGACGAUCUGUAGCUGGUCUGAGAGGAUGAUCAGCCACACUGGGACUGAGACACGGCCCAGACUCCUACGGGAGGCAGCAGUGGGGAAUUUUGGACAAUGGGGGCAACCCUGAUCCAGCCAUUCCGCGUGAGUGAAGAAGGCCUUCGGGUUGUAAAGCUCUUUCGGCAGGAACGAAACGGUGGGCUCUAACAUAGUCCGCUAAUGACGGUACCUGAAGAAGAAGCACCGGCUAACUACGUG